rnacentral:lncRNA from 1 species
CGCGAGACAGCUUAAGCCAGACAGACGAGAACCCAGAAUUCGUGACUGCUGCUGAAAUAAUUCGUAUUUGUUUUUGUAUUCCACAUUUCGUCUGCUACUUGAAUUGCAGUAGAACGUAAUAGUAAAAUACUGUCUGAAUCAGGAAAUUUCUUCAGUCUGUGUCAUCUGUGGCAGCGUAUGGCCUCAGGCUCGGAAGGGAAAAAUACACGACGCUGAUUCCAAAUUGGUUCAAAGCGUUGCUGUGGGUACCAGACCUAUCGCCGCAGACAUCGAGAACUUUUGCUGACUCGCAUUUUGCCCGUUGCUGAGGCCACCUAAACGCCACGUCCAGGUACACGACAGACACGUGCAACAUGCGACACUCUGUGUGCCCUCCUGCUAUUACUUUACCUCCAUCGAUACCAAUGCCGAACACUGGCGACACCGCCAGUCCUGGCCGUGAAUUGUUAGACAGAGAGAAGUAUGAGAUCAAGUCCGGCCAGCUGUGCCUUCUCCACCGGAUGGGAGAGAAGUCGUACUGGGUACCUGUGUACGUCCGGGUGUACCGCAGCUGCUUUGAGCACUUUGCGGUGGUGAGCAAAGACCAGGCAGUGACCACUAACGCCACCUAUGUCAACUUGCGGUCGGCAUCCAGCAGCAUCGUGCCGGGGGACUGCCUGUCCCAGUUUCGAGUGGUGCAGAACAACUUUGAGGGCACGGUCAUCACCUUUGAUGUACGAGGGCAUGAUAGCAUUGAGGAAUGGGUAGAUGCUUUCCAAAGCUUUACCCCACCCUCAUCACCGACCCUGGCAGGUGUUUCGCCAUCUCUGUCUCCCGUCAUCCCCCGAUCCCCUGUGUUACCCCCUCUCCCUGAAAUCGACGAACAGGAAUGAAGUCUCUAGACAUCUCAGCAUGCAGGAGAGAUAGUCCGUGACUUCAUGAAGUAGCUGUCUGGGUGCUUGCACACUGCUUCUCAUCUCAGUUUCCUCUACAUCCUGCGACGGAUGACUAGAUGAAAUUUGACUUGCAAAUGAGAAGAUUUGCAGACGUUUGUCAAACUACUGAUGAAGAGAAAGCUUUGGAAUCGGCAUGGGAAGUUGAUUUUUUGUUAAGAACAGUUGGUUUAUCAAGAGAAUGUUUAUCACGAGAUGCCGCAUGAACAACGGAAAGUUUAUUUUCUGUGCUCACCAUUGCCACAAUUCUCACGUGUUGUCAGCAUGCACGCUGUUGAACCUUUUGAAGAUGGUUACUAUAACCUAACAUUUACUAUAACAUUGUUUACUUAAGCCCCCAGGGGCAAUUUGCUUCGAAAGAAGGAAACGAAUGGUGCAUAGCUGCUGAUCUCAAUCGCUGAUUUCCGGACUGCCAGUCGGCAGCGAUCUUACAUGUGAACGCAGUUAGAAUGAUUAUAUUUAGCUUCCCUGCCAUGCCUGCCUCUUAGUUCAUUCGUGGAGACAACCUGCCAAAAGCGUGGUAAACAAGGGGUAAAAAAAACUUCCCGCGCGCGCGCGUGUGUGUGUGUGAGAGAGAGAAAGCGAAAUGUAGUAUCUACUAUAUUUUAUCCACUUCAAAAGGAGUGAUUAACUGAAGGAAGUGCACAUGUGGAAAACAGGCGCCCUCGCACUCACACACCUUCAUCUUUUUCUGUUCGGUGUACACGAGGGGAGUGUUUACCGUAUCAGUGCCAAGUAGAAGCAAAGCUUUAAAGUCGCCAUUCGUUUAUAGGUUAAAGGUUAAAGUUCCAUUUAAAAGUUAUUAGUAAGUAGUUAACAGCUGAACACUCUACAAAUAGGCUACGUGAACCGAUAAUUUUAUUGUUUUGACAAAAUAAUGAAUAUGGUCUAAAAGACCCAGCUCUGAAAUUGUCACUCAUAUCCCCCCUAACAAAGAUUUGGAUACAUUUUCACACAUCAUAGACAUUUCUGAAAUUUUACCGCCUUCACUCUUUUCGAUAGCUGUAAUCAAGGAGUUCUGAAAUAAACGAUAGAUGAAUGGAUGUGCUUUUCUGACAGUAUUACACUUUUGUGUGAGGGUUGUUAUUUGCCUUCCCCUGACAGUGCGACAUCAAGAAAAGUGGUCAGUCGGAGUCAUGGCUGGGGUGGGUUGGGAGGUAGGAGUGGGGAGAGAGCGAAGGGAAGCAGGGGGAGCAGCAGAAGGCGGGUAUAGAGCCACAUCAAGAGGCGGCUCGCAUUUAAGAGGCUGCAAUGGUCUGUUAUGUUCAAGUGUGAGUGUUCUACUGGAGUGUUCACUGUAGACUACAGUCAGUUCCAUUUUUAUCUCUCUUGUUUUGUGAAAAUGGCUUGCUAUUGUUUAACGUUCAUGUAACAUAAUGCUACCAAUCUCCACAAAUAGAAGUGGCCUGUUUAUGACUGGCAAGGAAGUGACAGGACGGGAAGGUUUGGAGAAAAAUGACAGAUCCAAUCACUACCCUCCGUACAAAGUUUACAAUUGAUAAAAACACGAAUGCAAUGCCUGUGAUAUUUGGUGACAUAUGUACAAAGAAUUGACCUUUUACCUUUUUUGUGCAUACUGUGUUUUUUAUAUUCUAAUGUGAAAAUGCACUCAAUUAAAAAUUACAUCGUGAAGACUUGGA